UACGGGGGGGGCAAGCGUUGUUCGGAAUUACUGGGCAUAAAGGGUGCGUAGGUGGUUUGGUAAGUCAGUGGUGAAAUCGUCCGGCCCAACCGGACACGUGCCAAUGAUACUGCCGAACUCGAGUGCGUGAGGGGUGGGGGGAACGAGCAGUGUAGCGGUGAAAUGCGUAGAUAUUGCUCGGAAGGCCAAAGCCGAAGGGACCCCACUGGUACGUAACUGACACUGAGGCACGAAAGCGUGGGGAGCAAACAGG
rnacentral:rRNA from 1 species